rnacentral:rRNA from 1 species
GACAGAGGGUGCAAACGUUGCUCGGAAUCACUGGGCGUAAAGGGCGUGUAGGCGGGAAGGAAAGUCAGAUGUGAAAUCCCUGGGCUCAACCCAGGAACUGCAUUUGAAACUCCCUUUCUUGAGUGUCGGAGAGGAAAGCGGAAUUCCUGGUGUAGAGGUGAAAUUCGUAGAUAUCAGGAGGAACACCGGUGGCGAAGGCGGCUUUCUGGACGACAACUGACGCUGAGAUGCGAAAGCGUGGGGAGCAAACAGG